GCCUCCCAUGUGGAAAAUAUUUUAAUGUUUAUGAGCCACCAGCUCACAUCCUAUUCUUGCACAACACUUUCUACUUUUCAAAAUGCUUUUAUAGGUUAUCUUUUUGGAUCCGACUCCCGGUACUGCAGCCAUCUGUCACUGCCUCUGUUUUUACUACUGAAGCAACAAACACACGGAAGGGGAAUUGUUAAACCUGUGGGAUCCCACGGAGCUCGACGGGGGAAGUGGACACAUCACAUGCUCCCCAGUCCCCAGGGAGUGGGGACCCAGGAAGGUGGCCCACACGGUCACGUUCAAAACCAGCAUGCCGGAGGUGUUAGGACUGCAGCCGGCUGGAAGGGAAGCCGGCGUGGGAUGCGAAAAGGCGAUGAAGAAACUUUGGAGGUAUAUAUGAGAAACCAAUAAUAGUGCUGAUCUUAAGGUUGAGAAAUGGAGAGGAGACAAUCACAGGUGAUUGAGGUGAGGGUAGUAUUUUCUUUUGAAUCCAUUUUAUUUAUUUAUUUUAAUUUUUAUUAUUUUUAAUAUUUUAUUUAUUCAUUAGAGACACACACAGAGAGAGGCAGAGACCCAGGCAGAGGGAGAAGCAGGUUCCCUGUGGAGGACUCAAUGUGGGACUCCACCCCAGGACCCAGG
rnacentral:lncRNA from 1 species